rnacentral:rRNA from 1 species
GAUGAACGCUGGCGGCGUGCCUAAUACAUGCAAGUCGAGCGAACGGACGAGAAGCUUGCUUCUCUGAUGUUAGCGGCGGACGGGUGAGUAACACGUGGAUAACCUACCUAUAAGACUGGGAUAACUUCGGGAAACCGGAGCUAAUACCGGAUAAUAUUUUGAACCGCAUGGUUCAAAAGUGAAAGACGGUCUUGCUGUCACUUAUAGAUGGAUCCGCGCUGCAUUAGCUAGUUGGUAAGGUAACGGCUUACCAAGGCAACGAUGCAUAGCCGACCUGAGAGGGUGAUCGGCCACACUGGAACUGAGACACGGUCCAGACUCCUACGGGAGGCAGCAGUAGGGAAUCUUCCGCAAUGGGCGAAAGCCUGACGGAGCAACGCCGCGUGAGUGACGAAGGUCUUCGGAUCGUAAAACUCUGUUAUUAGGGAAGAACAUAUGUGUAAGUAACUGUGCACAUCUUGACGGUACCUAAUCAGAAAGCCACGGCUAACUACGUGCCAGCAGCCGCGGUAAUACGUAGGUGGCAAGCGUUAUCCGGAAUUAUUGGGCGUAAAGCGCGCGUAGGCGGUUUUUUAAGUCUGAUGUGAAAGCCCACGGCUCAACCGUGGAGGGUCAUUGGAAACUGGAAAACUUGAGUGCAGAAGAGGAAAGUGGAAUUCCAUGUGUAGCGGUGAAAUGCGCAGAGAUAUGGAGGAACACCAGUGGCGAAGGCGACUUUCUGGUCUGUAACUGACGCUGAUGUGCGAAAGCGUGGGGAUCAAACAGGAUUAGAUACCCUGGUAGUCCACGCCGUAAACGAUGAGUGCUAAGUGUUAGGGGGUUUCCGCCCCUUAGUGCUGCAGCUAACGCAUUAAGCACUCCGCCUGGGGAGUACGACCGCAAGGUUGAAACUCAAAGGAAUUGACGGGGACCCGCACAAGCGGUGGAGCAUGUGGUUUAAUUCGAAGCAACGCGAAGAACCUUACCAAAUCUUGACAUCCUUUGACAACUCUAGAGAUAGAGCUUUCCCCUUCGGGGGACAAAGUGACAGGUGGUGCAUGGUUGUCGUCAGCUCGUGUCGUGAGAUGUUGGGUUAAGUCCCGCAACGAGCGCAACCCUUAAGCUUAGUUGCCAUCAUUAAGUUGGGCACUCUAAGUUGACUGCCGGUGACAAACCGGAGGAAGGUGGGGAUGACGUCAAAUCAUCAUGCCCCUUAUGAUUUGGGCUACACACGUGCUACAAUGGACAAUACAAAGGGCAGCGAAACCGUGAGGUCAAGCAAAUCCCAUAAAGUUGUUCUCAGUUCGGAUUGUAGUCUGCAACUCGACUACAUGAAGCUGGAAUCGCUAGUAAUCGUAGAUCAGCAUGCUACGGUGAAUACGUUCCCGGGUCU